UACAACCAUGUCAUGUUGAAACAGUGGUUCCUGUAUGAUCACUGAAGUUAAGCAACAUUGAGCCUGGUCAGUAACUUGAUGGGUGACUGCAUGGAAAUGCCAGGUGCUAUA